rnacentral:lncRNA from 14 species
GGGAGAUAAAGGAAGAAACAGAAGGCGCCUGUCCCGGCUCCAGCCAGCUUAACUCUUUGGAGAAGCAGUCCGAAGUCCUAGGAAGGGAGGCUGGGUCUUACCGCGAAGGUCGGUGUCCGUUGAAGAUGGGUGAGAGUUUGCCGAAGCCAAGCACCCUCAGGAAGAGGAAGAGAGUACUUUGCAGGGAUUCGAGCAGCGAUCCGCGAGGUCCGGAGAAGCUAACAGUCUUGAUGGAAAUCUGGGGCAAAGAACUGGGAGCCUCUAGCCAGCCCCCUCCGCGCUGCGCCGCAGUCGGAUCCCGGAGCGCUUCUGCGUAACGUCAGCGCGCCGGGUAAUUUACCUUUCCUGCGCGUCUGUCAAUAUGACUAAUUUCCACCCGGGUCAAAAAGCCUUUCUCCGGCAGUCCAUCUUGGAGCGCUCUCUUAACGCGGUAGACGGGGGUGGUUGUUUUGUUUCCACCCUAGAAAUAAAUACUCUUGGGGCGUCCCUGCCAGGGCAGCCCUGAGACGAGCAGGCGAAUAUACACCAUGUCAAUUAAAAGCAGUUUGCCUUGAACUACGAACUGUGAUUGGGUUUCAACGACAGCGACUUGCUUGCCUUUUUAAUAUACAUUACCUAACUCGUCCUUGAUUCCAAUGCUUUCUUUAGAAACAUUUUUUUCCAAGAAGGAAGUAAUUAUUGCUCCAAUUCUUCUCCUUUGGGUGCAGUUCCCUAAUGAAACAGGACCACAAUUCAGGGUGUGUUUUAAACAUCGGAUAUGAUUGCUAAUCUGGCCAAGACUACAUAUCAUCUAGGCGAUGUUUUACAAUAAUUUUUAAACUGCUUCCGACUUGUGAGUGCGAAGAAGAGGGGAGUUAACCGUUCUCACAGAGGCCUCCAUUGGAAGCUGGUAGUAGCGAAGUCCAACUCACUUUGAGAAGGUGCAGGAAGAAGCUAGCAAUGGCCAAGGAGACUGCAUGAGUGUCUCUCGUUCUUCUUCAGGCUGAAACAAAGGAGGAGGAGACACGAAUACUCAACUCUGGAGAUGCCAGCUAGGUUUCUUAAGCUUUGAAGUCUUUUACUUCACUGACCCAGGGACCAAUGUGUAACUGGAACUGAAAAGUCCCCAACAGUAAGAACACAACUAAUAAAAUUUAAAAAUUUGUAUGGGGGGA